AAGUUGCACCCGWGCCCCUCCAUCCCCGGCGCCGUGCGGUGAGGGCGUGAGCCCGAGUCGCCCGGCAAACAACGUACCCCGGCGCGGCAUGCGCCAAGGAACCGAAACGAAGCGAUGUGCGCCGCCCGGCCCGUCCGCGGGACCYYGGCGGCAGCACGGCCUUCCACUGUAUACUAAACGACUCUCGGCAACGGAUAUCUCGGCUCUCGCAUCGAUGAAGAACGUAGCGAAAUGCGAUACUUGGUGUGAAUUGCAGAAUCCCGUGAACCAUCGAGUCUUUGAACGCAAGUUGCGCCCGAAGCCAUUAGGCCGAGGGCACGUCUGCCUGGGCGUCACGCGAUCCGUCGCCCCGCAACACCGAGCCCCCUCGUGGCGGCCCGGUCGCUUUGCGGUGCGGAUAGUGGUCUCCCGUGGGCUUGUCCCGCGGCUGGCAUAAAAGCGAGUCCCGCGUGCACCGAGCCGCGGCCGACGGUGGUUGAGAAGCCUUCGGUAAAGAGCCGUGGUUGGGCUG
rnacentral:rRNA from 1 species